rfam:Thauera sp. 27 Cont28, whole genome shotgun sequence.
CGGUAGCUGGAUCCGACCGGGGAGCAAUCCCGAACCCAGCCCACUGUCCGCUCAGGAUAAUCAACCCACCUUUGGG